CCUACGGGAGGCAGCAGUGGGGAAUUUUGCGCAAUGCUCGUAAGAGUGACGCAGCGACGCCGCGUGAAUGACGAAGGCCUUCGGGUCGUAAAGUUCUUUCGACAGGGAAGAAAAUGCCUAUAAGUAACUGUGUAUGUAUUGACGGUACCUGUAUAAGCAGCACCGGCUAACUCCGUGCCAGCAGCCGCGGUAAUACGGAGGGGGCGGGCGUUGUUCGGAGGGACUGGGCGUAAAGAGCACGUAGGCGGUGUUGUAAGUCAUUAGUCAAAGACUAGAGCUCAACUUUAGUAAGGCUAGUGAAACUAUAAUACUAGAGUAUCAGAGAGGAUUGCAGAAUUCCUGGUGUAGCGGUGAAAUGCGUAGAUAUCAGGAGGAAUACCGUUAGCGAAGGCGGCAAUCUGGCUGGAAACUGACGCUGAGGUGCGAAAGCGUGGGUAGCAAACAGGAUUAGAUACCCGUGUAGUC
rnacentral:rRNA from 1 species